AGAGUGGGCUGGGUGGUCGCGGACGUGCCAGGGCACGUGCGAGGAAAGUCCGGCCUCCCCAGGGCAGCACGCUGGGUAACACCCAGGCGGGGCGACCCGACGGAAAGUGCCACAGAAAGCAAACCGCCUCGGUGCUUUGGCGCCGGGGUAAGGGUG
rnacentral:RNase_P_RNA from 1 species